rnacentral:rRNA from 1 species
GAUGAACGCUGGCGGCGUGCUUAACACAUGCAAGUCGAACGGAAAGGCCCUGCUUUUGUGGGGUGCUCGAGUGGCGCACGGGUGAGUAACACGUGAGUAAACUGCCCUUGAAUUUGGGAUAACUUCAGGGAAAUGGGGCUCAUACCGGAUAGGAGAUACUGCUGCACAGGGGGGGUUGGUAAGUUUCGGCGGUUGGGGAUGGACUCGCGGCUUAUCAGCUUGUUGGUGGGGUAGUGGCUUACCAAGGCUUUGACGGGUAGCCGGCCUGAGAGGGUGACCGGCCACAUUGGGACUGAGAGACGGCGCAGACGCCUACGGGAGGCAGCAGUGGGGAAUAUUGCGCAAUGGGCGGAAGCCUGAUGCAGCAACGCCGCGUGCGUGAUGACGUCCUUCGGGGUGUAAACCGCUUUCGCCUGUGACAAAGCGGGAUUGACGGUAAUUGGUAAAGAAGCACCGGCUAACUACGUG